AACUUUCAACAACGGAUCUCUUGGUUCUGGCAUCGAUGAAGAACGCAGCGAAAUGCGAUAAGUAAUGUGAAUUGCAGAAUUCCGUGAAUCAUCGAAUCUUUGAACGCACAUUGCGCCCGCCAGUAUUCUGGCGGGCAUGCCUGUUCGAGCGU
rnacentral:rRNA from 1 species